rnacentral:rRNA from 1 species
UAGGGAAUCUUCGGCAAUGGGGGCAACCCUGACCGAGCAACGCCGCGUGAGUGAAGAAGGUUUUCGGAUCGUAAAGCUCUGUUGUAAGAGAAGAACGUGUGUGAGAGUGGAAAGUUCACACAGUGACGGUAACUUACCAGAAAGGGACGGCUAACUACGUGCCAGCAGCCGCGGUAAUACGUAGGUCCCGAGCGUUGUCCGGAUUUAUUGGGCGUAAAGCGAGCGCAGGCGGUUUAAUAAGUCUGAAGUUAAAGGCAGUGGCUUAACCAUUGUUCGCUGUGGAAACUGUUAAACUUGAGUGCAGAAGGGGAGAGUGGAAGUCCAUGUGUAGCGGUGAAAUGCGUAGAUAUAUGGAGGAACACCGGUGGCGAAAGCGGCUCUCUGGUCUGUAACUGACGCUGAGGCUCGAAAGCGUGGGGAGCAAACAGG